UUUAUCUAUUUAGGAUUCUUUCCAUUUGAUGCCAUUGAAAAGAUAUUUUGACGAUUAAAAGUUCAUAUGCAGAGAAUCCCAAAAUGUUCAAUUACAGAUAUGUGCUUUGCUUGUAGUAUUUGGGGAUCCUGCAUAUGGGUACUCUGAUGAGGGGUCUGGUAGAAACAAUUUCUUCUUUGAAUAAGGAUACUGUGAAUUGUUCAAAAGUACAAUAACAUAAUGUCACAAAAGUUAAAAUGCUACAAAUCAGUCUUAGAUACUUCUCUCUUUACAGAAUUAUAGAAAGAUCAACAAUUUACUGCUGGUAUUGGUUUGCAUUUGGUAGGUGAAAAAUACAGUGUUAUUUGUUUUAACUCUAAAAUACUCCACAAAGCAAAUUCGUGUUCAAAACUAUAUCUAAAACUAUUAGUUAUGUCUCUUGGCUCUUUAGAUUUAGUUGAAAGGCAACACCUCUUGCUUCUUUUGCUCCUUCUUAUAUAGGAUUGAGGAUGAUAAAUAGGAACUUUUACAUUGAUCCAAUUAACCUGUGUAUAUUCAGAUAAUAAAGGCUGUUUAUGUAGUCAUAAUUUGUUCUAAAAUAAGAAAUGUAGAAUAAAUUAUGAUACUGUGGAGUUAUUAGUAUUCAUUUUUAUAACUACAGCAAAACUGGCACCUUAAACUUAAGGUCAUACCUCAACUUCAAGGGCAAUACCUUCUUCUGUCAAACUUGCUAUGAGAGCAAUAAGAGUUAGACAUAAUAGCUCUCUUUAAAAAUUACACAUGUAAUAUAUAGGCAUGUCUUAAAUACACAAUAUAUAUGUAAAUGAACUCACAUGUGUAAAUACUCAGUAUGCCCAUUUUAAGGUAUAUAUAUUCCCAAAUAUCUGUAUCUAUAAUGAUAUUUGACAAUCUAGGGAUUAAAGGUAAAAUUAUUUUAAAAACUUGCAUGUUAUAGUUAAUUUUGUUGAUAUUUUAUCAUCAUCUAUUUCUUUUUAUCCCACUAACAAAAAUUAGUAAGGCAGAGGGGUAACUGUUCAGAUUUUUAGAAAACUCUUAAGUUUCUUAUGAAUAUGUAAUGUGCCAUAGCUUAUAUCAUAUAAUGACUCAUCAUUUCGUAAACUACAGAGAGAAAAAGCAGCAGGGAAAAUGUUUAACUCUUACUCUUGUUUUCUUAUAAUACAAAGUACAAUGUACAAUUCUUAAUUACUACAUUUUCCUUAACAUGAACUUGAGUGGUUACAAAACAUUACAGGAAAAACAGGUUUGUAUAACUUUGUAGUAAUCUGUAAUAAAAUCAAUUGUAUAGUUAUCAAACAGAUAGAAAUUGUUUUUAAAGUUCUGCCCACAUUUCUCUUACUUUUCUGUCAGUAGUGUUGGCAUACUAGAAACAGCCUAAUUUCUCUGUUGUCUUGAAAUUUGUUGAAUUGAACUCUCACUACCCAAAUUCAACUCAUGUCUUUUGAGUAUCUGAUGCCAACAAUCUGGAUGUCUGAAAUAAUUUGAAUGUCUGACAUUUUUUCUUAUUGAAUAUUUAUUAUGAUAUCAACACAGUCUAUAUUGUGGCAACUUGAGUGCAUGUUGGUCCAUCUUUGGUCAUCAUAUUUUCUAGACCAUUUCACGGUUUUUUACAACUCAUAGAAUUUAAGUAUGACAUUAAUCUGGAUUGCCCAAAUUGCUCGGAUAUCAGGUAUCUUUCAGAGUGUUUUCAAGUAGCAGUUAUCUAUUACACCACAAGUGGUAUGAUGAUGUUUUGAAAGUUGUUCAAUGGGGGUGUGUAAACUGAUUUCAAAACACCUUAAAACAACAAUUUAAUAGGAGUCACAAACAUGAUUAAUUCCUCUUAUAUUGUUGAAUCUUCUGUAUUAAACAGAAGAUUUUUUGAAUGAUUUUCUUGGUUAUAUGAAUUAAAAUGCCGCUUUUUCAGUAAAGAAUUUUUGGUUUGAAUGAUUUUCUUGGUUCUAUGAAUUAAAAUGUUAUCUGAAUUUUGUUUGAAUUAUUUUCUUGGUUAUAUGAAUUAAAACACCCCCUUUUCAGUAAAGGAUUUUUGGUUUGGAAGCUUGUUUAGGUCUGAAAAAUUAAUCUUUGGUAAAAAUUUUGAUUCUGUUGACUUCAUUUUCAGAUGUAACUCAAUCUUUAAGGACUUUAGUAUCUUUAGCAUUAACAAUAAAAUCUACCCAUUUUAUUUUAAUUGAUAUGGAAAACAUGAGCUGAUGAGCCAAGCAUUUUUUUUUCUUCCAAAUAAAAAUAUUAAUUUGAAUGACUUUUUUAGAUAGUGAAGACACAGUCAUAUUUAUUUGCUUCACAUGUAAUAAACUUGUGUUUUAGCUACUAGUUCAAAUACCUUGAAUAGAAUUUUCACUGUGUCUUGGGAUUAUUUAUAUGACAACUGCAAAAUCAGUUAGAGCUUAUGAGGUACAAAUUCUUAGAUAGUCUUACCACUUAGAGAUAAGACUACUGCCAGCUAUGCUACAUUUAUAAAAGCAGGAAGAGGGAAGAUCACCAACAUUUUUGUUGAUUUGUUUCUCAAAGUUUCCUUAAUUCCUUGUUAUUGAUGCCAUGACUUUUGAGACUCUCUUGAUUUCUUAACUGCAUACAGUAAAUCCUUCUUUGGCUUAUUGUUUAUUUAGCAUUUCACAAGAAUAUGAAGAGUGAUGUAAUAAGCCCAAUGAACAAAUCAACAGAACAUUGAUACAUUCUGUUUCCAUUUCUUCCAUUUGCUCUUACUGGCGGAGUAAAAAUAUCACUGAGGCAUUAUUUUGGAAAGCUUGUUCACUAAAGUGGCCCAGAGGCUUUAUAAGCAAUUUAAACCCGUGAUCUAUGCAAUGAGUUCACAUUGAUGCAGUUCAUGGUGAAUGGCAUGAUUGUCAUUUUGAAAUAACACUUCCUACUAUGCUCCUAUAUGUGAUUGUGCUAGGUACAAUUAAACUUGCUGUUUAUCAGAAUAUCAAUUUUUAAAAACCUAGUUAUUUGCAGUAGGAAUUUUUGACAGCUCUUCCUUUGAGGAUUCUAUUUUACAGUUUAAGUCAUUAUUGCAUAAAUCAUCCUUGGCAGCUGUGAAAUAUUGCUUGAGGUGAUAAAGCUGUAAAUCUUUUGACAUAAAACUCUAAUUAUACAAAACUAUAAUUAUGCUGUGACUUAUAUAAGGAUGGGCAUGCAUUUUAAUAGCAUAAUAGAUUCAUUUAAAAACACCUUUUCAGCAACAAAGUUUAAAAAAUAGCAAACACUUCAGUUAUUAACUAGUUCGUAGUUUGUAGAUGAUGCAAAUAGAAAGGAAACAGAAAAAAAAUAGCUCCCACAACUAAGUUUAUCCUUCAUCUUGUUUGGACUACGUCACAGAAUAGAGCGAGCUAGUUUAAGUGCUAACCCCCUUCAGGCAUAUUUAGAAAUGUGACAUUGACCUUAAAUUAUCAAGCAACUUUAAACAUUUGAAAAAUCAAAGUAAAUUUCUCCACUAGAAAUAAAGAUCUUUACUCAGUUGGAAAGAAGGACUUAAAAUGUAUUAUUUUUUGAGGUCAGAACAUUCUUGUAUUUUUGCCAUUAUGCUUCCAUACACACUAUGGUAGCAAUUUUGCUAACAAAUCAGAAAUACAUAGUGCUACUUUCCUUAUCUUCAUGCUGCUUUUAAAGAACUGAAGAAUGAUAAGGGGCUGAGGUAAGUCCUUGCCUAAUCCAGUCAGAUAUCACUACAGAGGUAGAGUUUUAUUAACUAAACUCAGAAGAGGUCUUGCUUUGGUAGUAUUGAACUUACUAUAUCUGAGCAUUAUGUGGAAAGAUCUUCUAAAAACAGCUUUAUUUUUGUGAAUCAAGGCGAAGAUGUAGAUUGAGCGCCUCCUCUCUCUCAUGUAAUGUACCAGGCACUAUAAGAACAGUAGGAAGAGAUACAUAGGAGGAUUUCACCUGAUCUCUGUGGAACACUUGUAUUACAGAGUGGCUAAUGUUCAUUUCUAUCUUCUACAUUGCAGCUGUUUUUAUAAAAUUAUUUUUAAAGGAAAAACAGUAUUUGGACUAUGGGGUUGUUAAAUGCAUAGAGAGCCUACAAAAUUUAGUAUUAAUUGCUGUUUUCCUUCUAUUCCCCAAAUUUAAAAUAAACAUGCUUAUGUGUAUCUUUUUUCACCUUUGUCAUGUAUACAUAAUAAUAUAUUAAAGAAGCAAUGAAGUUUAGUUAAAAGUUUAUUAGCACAAACAGAAAUUCCAAAAACUUUCAUAAUAGCUUUAUAUAAGUUAUAUGGCAUAUAAAAUAUUCAGCUCUCUUAAUUCUUGGAUUGUGUAGAAGAGAUACAGAUGGUAGUUUUUUAGACAAGAACAAAAAUAUAUUUUUUGUGUGCGUAAUUCAAGCAAUGAGAAAGAUUUUCAGAGAGUAUCUUGCCUAGAGUUUGCUUGGGUGUUCAUUUUAACUUUCUGUUUAUAAAUUUUUAUGUUCUAUUCAAUAGACUAUUGCAACAACAGUAAUCCUAAAAUUCAUUUCUUUCAUGUGCCUAAAUAUUAUCCAGAAUUCAAAUUUGAUCAGUUGUAAUUAUUGGUAAAAUAGGCAUUCUCAAUAGACGCUCUUCUUCACAAUUCGAAAACAAUUUCAAUAUUGUCCUAAGUAAAACCAAAUAUCCUAAAAUGUAGGUGAGCUGUGUUUAUCAGUUACUUUUCACUAUUCACCAACAUCAUACCUCUAAGCAGCUCUGGUGCCAACAAGAAGCCAUGUUGUCUGCCAGCUUGAGAGCGAACUUCUCAGUUAUUUUCACAUCCAAGGGGCUUGAGAAGAGGUCAGUUUAGUAUUAUACAAACAAGAUAGGGUAAUGGGAGAAACAAGGCUUUUGGUUGGUUUUGUUUUUGUUGUUGUUGUUGUUUCCUAUAAGUAAUCUCUGAGUCCAUUGCUAGCAAUCUGGCCAGCCCAGUUAGUUGAGCCACAGGGAAGUAAUAGUUGGGGUAUGAGUACUGAGCUGUCACCAUUCAUCUGGGCUUGUAAAUUAGAAACUUUGGCAUAAUUUUUCACUUUUCUCCAUCUCUCAGCUCCCUAAAAUCAAGUCGUUACAAAUCCUUUCAAUAUUUACAUCAGAAAUAUCUCUCAAUGCUUCCUCCAUUUUUCCAACCACUUCAAGUGGUCUGAUUAAAGCCUGUUGUCCUCCUGAAGUAAUCAGGUUUCUAGUUUCUCUCCUCCAAUACAUUCUCUAUAUGCUAUCAGAGAGCUAUUCCCAAAACAUGAAUCACCUACACUAAUGGCUUAUUAGUGCCAAAAAUUACUGAAAGUAAAUUUUAUAUAUCAAAUAGUGGAUACAACCAUCCCAUAAAAUGUAUAUUCUUAUUAUCCCCAUUUUGUGGAAAUAACACUGAGGCCCAGAGAGACUGAAUAAUUUGCCAAAUUGCACAUAGCUUAUACAUGGUGGAGACUGAGCCCUUAACAAAUUUGCCUUAUAGCUGCUCGAUGUACCAAUAUCAGACCUCAGCUUGAAAACCUGUUUUCAGUCAUUAAACCUCUCAGGAUACUGGCUGCCUUCAGAAUUGAAUUCACUAGGGAUUUCAAGAAUGGUGUUGUCUUAGUCUUUUCCUGCUGUGAUAACAAAAUACCUUAGAGUGGGUAACUUACAAAUAAUAGAGAUUUAUUUCUCACAGUUUUGGAGGCUGGGAAGCCCAAUAUCAAGGCAUAAGGCUGGUAAAGGUGGUUUCUUCACUUUCAAGAUGGAACUUUGUUGCCUGUGACCUCACAAGGCAGAAUACAGAGGGCUAAAAGGGGUAGUCAUCUCUCUGAAGACUCUUAAAGGCAUUAAUCCCAUUCAGGAGAGUGGAGCCCUUAUGACUUAAUCACACCCCAAAAAGUCUACACUUCUUACUACUCUUAUGUUGGGGUUGAAGUUCCAACGUAUGAAUUUUGAAGGAACACAUACAUUAAAACCAUCAUAGAAUAUACAGAAGAGUGACUAGUACUAAAUGGGUGCACUGUCAUGUUUCCAGAGUAAGAAGAAGGUGUCCUAGUGAAAUUUCAUACCGGCCAACAUUCAUUAUUUUAAAUAUAUUCACAGCAAAGUGUGCAUAGUGUGAGUUAGACAACAUUUUGUCUUAAUUACUGGCACCCUCAAUAACUUCAAUAAUGUAUUUUCCUCUAAAGAAUACUUCAUCUCAAAGAGUUACUACUUUUUGUUAUUAAUCUAAACUUUUUGAAAAUAGGAAGAAUGCUGCUUACAGCCUUUA